rnacentral:piRNA from 1 species
UUUCUAGAACCCUGAACUAUU